rnacentral:rRNA from 1 species
GAUGAACGCUGGCGGUAUGCUUAACACAUGCAAGUCGAACGGUCUUUUAGGAGACAGUGGCGGACGGGUGAGUAACGCGUAAGAAUCUACCCUCAGGUCGGGGACAACCACUGGAAACGGUGGCUAAUACCGGAUGUGCCGAGAGGUGAAAGGCUUGCGGCCUGGGGAAGAGCUUGCGUCUGAUUAGCUAGUUGGUAGUGUAAGAGGCUACCAAGGCGACGAUCAGUAGCUGGUCUGAGAGGAUGAUCAGCCACACUGGGACUGAGACACGGCCCAGACUCCUACGGGAGGCAGCAGUGGGGAAUUUUCCGCAAUGGGCGAAAGCCUGACGGAGCAAUACCGCGUGAGGGAGGAAGGCUCUUGGGUUGUAAACCUCUUUUCUCAGGGAAGAAAAAAAUGACGGUACCUGAGGAAUAAGCAUCGGCUAACUCCGUGCCAGCAGCCGCGGUAAUACGGAGGAUGCAAGCGUUAUCCGGAAUGAUUGGGCGUAAAGGGUCCGCAGGUGGCAUUGAAAGUCUGCUGUUAAAGAGUCUAGCUCAACUAGAUAAAAGCAGUGGAAACUACAAAGCUAGAGUUUGGUCGGGGCAGAAGGAAUUCCUGGUGUAGCGGUGAAAUGCGUAGAUAUCAGGAAGAACACCAGUGGCGAAGGCGUUCUGCUAGGCCGAGACUGACACUGAGGGACGAAAGCUAGGGGAGCGAAUGGGAUUAGAUACCCCAGUAGUCCUAGCCGUAAACGAUGGAUACUAGGCGUAGCUCGUAUCGACCCGAGCUGUGCCGGAGCUAACGCGUUAAGUAUCCCGCCUGGGGAGUACGCAGGCAACUGUGAAACUCAAAGGAAUUGACGGGGGCCCGCACAAGCGGUGGAGUAUGUGGUUUAAUUCGAUGCAACGCGAAGAACCUUACCAAGGCUUGACAUGUCACGAAUCCUGUGGAAACAUAGGAGUGCCUUCGGGAGCGUGAACACAGGUGGUGCAUGGCUGUCGUCAGCUCGUGUCGUGAGAUGUUGGGUUAAGUCCCGCAACGAGCGCAACCCUCGUUUUUAGUUGCCAGCAUUAAGUUGGGCACUCUAGAGAGACUGCCGGUGACAAACCGGAGGAAGGUGGGGAUGACGUCAAGUCAGCAUGCCCCUUACGUCUUGGGCUACACACGUACUACAAUGCUACGGACAAAGGGCAGCUACACAGCGAUGUGAUGCGAAUCUCAUAAACCGUAGCUCAGUUCAGAUCGAAGGCUGCAACUCGCCUUCGUGAAGGAGGAAUCGCUAGUAAUUGCAGGUCAGCAUACUGCAGUGAAUUCGUUCCCGGGCCUUGUACACACCGCCCGUCACACCAUGGAAGUUGGUCACGCCCGAAGUCGUUACCCCAACCGCAAGGGGGGGGAUGCCUAAGGUAGGACUGAUGACUGGGGUGAA